GGAGAGAUGGCUGAGUGGACUAAAGAGGUAGAUUGUUAAUCUGUGUACAAUUUUUUUUGUACCGAGGGUUCGAAUCGCUCUCUUUUCG
rnacentral:tRNA from 1 species